UACAGAGGGGGCAAGCGUUAUUCGGAAUUACUGGGCGUAAAGGGCGCGUAGGCGGCCUUCUAAGUCAUGCGUGAAAUCCCCGGGCUCAACCCGGGAACUGCGUCUGAUACUGGAAGGCUUGAAUCCGGGAGAGGGAUGCGGAAUUCCAGGUGUAGCGGUGAAAUGCGUAGAUAUCUGGAGGAACACCGGUGGCGAAGGCGGCAUCCUGGACCGGCAUUGACGCUGAGGCGCGAAAGCUAGGGGAGCAAACGGG
rnacentral:rRNA from 1 species